rnacentral:rRNA from 1 species
AACGAACGCUGGCGGCAGGCUUAACACAUGCAAGUCGAGCGCGUAGCAAUACGAGCGGCAGACGGGUGAGUAACGCGUGGGAAUCUACCGUACCCUACGGAAUAGCUCCGGGAAACUGGAAGUAAUACCGUAUACGCCCGAAAGGGGAAAGAUUUAUCGGGGUAUGAUGAGCCCGCGUUGGAUUAGCUAGUUGGUGGGGUAAAGGCCUACCAAGGCGACGAUCCAUAGCUGGUCUGAGAGGAUGAUCAGCCACAUUGGGACUGAGACACGGCCCAAACUCCUACGGGAGGCAGCAGUGGGGAAUAUUGGACAAUGGGCGCAAGCCUGAUCCAGCCAUGCCGCGUGAGUGAUGAAGGUCUUAGGAUUGUAAAGCUCUUUCACCGAUGAAGAUAAUGACGGUAGUCGGAGAAGAAGCCCCGGCAAACUUCGUGCCAGCCGCCGCCGUAAUAC